rfam:Ictidomys tridecemlineatus contig007572, whole genome shotgun sequence.
UGGGCUAUAGCUCAGCAGCAGAGCACUUGCCUAGCAUGAAUGAGGCACUGGGUUCGAACCCCAGUACCACAU